rnacentral:rRNA from 1 species
UACGGAGGGUGCGAGCGUUAAUCGGAAUCACUGGGCGUAAAGCGCGCGUAGGCGGCUUUUCAAGUCAGGGGUGAAAUCCCACGGCCCAACCGUGGAACUGCCUUUGAAACUGUAGAGCUUGAGUGUCGGAGAGGGUGGCGGAAUUCCAGGUGUAGGAGUGAAAUCCGUAGAUAUCUGGAGGAACACCGGUGGCGAAGGCGGUCACCUGGACGACAACUGACGCUGAGGUGCGAAAGCGUGGGUAGCAGACAGG